rnacentral:rRNA from 1 species
CGAUGCAACGCGAAAACCUUACUACCUUGACAUGUCCGGAAUCCUGCAGAGAUGCGGGAGUGCCGAAAGGGAAUCGGAACACAGGUGCUGCAUGGCUGUCGUCAGCUCGUGUCGUGAGAUGUUGGGUUAAGUCCCGCAACGAGCGCAACCCUUAUCAUUAGUUGCUACGCAAGGGCACUCUAAUGAGACUGCCGGUGACAAACCGGAGGAAGGUGGGGAUGACGUCAAGUCCUCAUGGCCCUUAUGGGUAGGGCUUCACACGUCAUACAAUGGUCGGUACAGAGGGUUGCCAAGCCGCGAGGUGGAGCCAAUCCCAGAAAGCCGAUCGUAGUCCGGAUUGUUCUCUGCAACUCGAGAGCAUGAAGUCGGAAUCGCUAGUAAUCGCGGAUCAGCAUGUCGCGGUGAAUACGUUCCCGGGUCUU